AUCAAUGUGCAUUUCUCUUGUGCUACCCUGAACAAGCCCAAUAUCUGAUCUCAGAAGCUAAGCAGGGGUCGGGCCUGUUUAGUACUUGUAUGGGAGACCACCUAGGAAGACCAGGUGCUGUAGGUG
rnacentral:rRNA from 1 species